UUGGUGGCAUCAUUAAAUAGAGAAAGAUUUAUCGGAUCANGACGGGCCCGCGUCUGAUUAUCUACUUGGCGGGGAAACGGCCCUGCAAGGAAAUGAUCAUUAGCCGACCUGAAAGGGAGACCGGCCACACUGUACCUGAGACACGGUCCAGACUCCUACGGGAGGCAUGGGUGGGGAAUAUUGCACAAUGGGCCCAGGCCUGAUGCAACGACGCCGCGUGAGCGAUGAAUGCCUUCGGGUCGGAAAGCUCUGUCCUAUGGGAAGAAGAAGUGACGGUACCCUANGAGGAANCCCC
rnacentral:rRNA from 1 species